UACGCAGACAAUUUCAAAGGUGAUCUUCUAUAUAACAGUUAUAUUACAUCAUCUUUAACUUAAGAAGAAUAGUAUUCCACGGAGUUUGCGUUAUGUGCUGUUCGAAAACACGAUUAGAGAAUAGAAAUUGGACUGGAAUACUAUUAAUAGUAUUUAGACUUUUUUACUAUCGAAUUUUUAACCAUUUGAUAAAAAAUUAUAGGGUUGGGGUGAUAGUAGUCCCCUACUAAGGUUUAGUAGUGGUCCCUUUAGGAUUGAGUGGGUGGUUGAUUGAAUCGAAUAAAUGUAACGGGUGGAAUUGAUUAAAGUAUAAAUUUAACGAUUAAAAAAUUGAUAGUAAAAAAACCCAAAUACUAUUAAUAGUGUUCAGCUCAACUCUAAAAAAUAGUUCAUUUAUUUCUGUAAGCAGAAUCAUACUACACCUAUAGCAAUGAGUAGAUUAAGCUAUUAUUUUCCGUCUCUCCAACAAAUAGAGAACCACGUCUAGAUGCUUCUCUUUUUUAGAAACAAAAAAUAUAGGGAAAACUUCAAAAACCCCCCCUGUGGUUUCGUGCAUUCUCACUUUGCUACCCUGUGGUUUAAAACGUAUCAAUUUGCCCCCCUGUGGUUUUGUUUUUAUCUUUUUGUUAUCAAUUUUAUUAUUAUUUUUUUUUAAAAUCAGUGACAAAGUUAAAAUUAAAGGAUACUAAAGUGACUAUUCGAUAAAUAUAGAUGGUUAUCUGAAGUUUUUUAUAUAUAAUUUAACGAAAUAUUAACGAACAAGCUUCCGAAAAGAUAAAAAUGAAACCACAAGGGGGUAAAUUAAUACGUUUUAAACCACAGAGUAGCAAAGUGAGAAUGCACGAAACCACAUGGGGGGUUUUUGAAGUUUUCCCAAAAAUAUAUAUGGCUAUGUACUUUCAUCCCAAACCCCUUUUUGGCCCAAUAUAGGGAAAUCAACGGGUCGGGUUUGGAUCGGAUUUUUAAAAAUCUGAAUUCGAACCCGAAAACUAAAUUAAAAUCCAUACCCGGAUUCGAACUCGGCGGGUUUUAAAAAUCCAUACCCAUAUCCGUAUCCGACCAAAAACCCGAAACCCAAACCCGAAUCCAGAUCCGACGGGUUCGGGUAAUAUUAUAUAAAUAAAUUAUUAAAUAUUUAUGGGAUAAAAAUUAUUAAAUAUUUAUAUAUUAUAUAAAUAAAUAAAAAUAAAGUAUGUAUAUAUAUAAUUUAUUCGGGUUUGGAUCGAGUUCGGGUUCGGGUCGGGUAAAUACAAAAUCUAUACCUGUAUUCAUAUUCGUCAGGUUUUUAUUUUUUAUAUCCAUAACCGAAUCCAUACCCGUUUAGCUCGGGUAAACCGGCUCCGUUCGGAUUCGGGCUCGGAUGAUAUUUCGGGUAUCCAUACCCAUCGAUAUCCCUA
rnacentral:lncRNA from 1 species